rnacentral:rRNA from 1 species
UGGGGAAUCUUGCGCAAUGGGCGAAAGCCUGACGCAGCAACGCCGCGUGAGCGAAGAAGGCCUUCGGGUUGUAAAGCUCUGUCAGGAGGGACGAAGCCACUCGGGUGAAUAGCCCAGAGGGUGACGGUACCUCCAGAGGAAGGUCCGGCUAACUACGUGCCAGCAGCCGCGGUAAUACGUAGGGACCUAGCGUUGUCCGGAAUCAUUGGGCGUAAAGCGCGUGUAGGCGGCUCGGCAAGUCCGAUGUGAAAGCCUGGGGCUCAACCCCGGGACUGCAUUGGAAACUGCCUUGCUAGAGUUCGGAAGAGGGGACUGGAAUUCCUGGUGUAGCGGUGAAAUGCGCAGAUAUCAGGAAGAACACCGGUGGCGAAGGCGGGUCCCUGGGACGAUACUGACGCUGAGACGCGAAAGCGUGGGGAGCAAACA